UACGGGGGGGGGCAAGCGUUGUUCGGAAUUACUGGGCGUAAAGGGCUCGUAGGCGGCCAACUAAGUCGGAUGUGAAAUCCCCAGGCUUAACCUGGGAACUGCAUCCGAUACUGGAUGGCUUGAAUCCGGGAGAGGGAUGCAGAAUUCCAGGUGUAGCGGUGAAAUGCGUAGAUAUCUGGAGGAAUACCGGUGGCGAAGGCGGCAUCCUGGACCGGCAUUGACGCUGAUGAGCGAAAGCUAGGGGAGCGAACGGG
rnacentral:rRNA from 1 species